UACGGAGGGUGCAAGCGUUAUCCGGAUUUACUGGGUUUAAAGGGUGUGUAGGCGGGCUUUUAAGUCAGUGGUGAAAUCUCCGGGCCCAACCUGGAAACUGCCAUUGAUACUAUUAGUCUUGAAUAUUGUUGAGGUAGGCGGAAUAAGUCAUGUAGCGGUGAAAUGCAUAGAUAUGACUUAGAACACCAAUUGCGAAGGCAGCUUGCUAAACAAUGAUUGACGCUGAGGCACGAAA
rnacentral:rRNA from 1 species